rnacentral:rRNA from 1 species
GUCUGUUUGAAGAUAUAAAAAGUCUAGCCUGCCCACUGAUAAAAUUUUAAAGGGCCGCGGUAUUCUGACUGUGCAAAGGUAGCAUAAUCGUUAGUUUUUUAAUUGGAAUCUUGUAUGAAUGGCUUGACAAAAAAAAAACUGUCUUUAUAAUUAUUUAUUGAAUUUAACUUUUAAGUGAAAAGGCUUAAAUAAAUUAAAAAGACGAUAAGACCCUAUAAAGCUUUAUAUUAAAUUUUCAUUUAAUUAAAUUUGUGAGAAUAAAAAUUUGGUGAUUAAAUUUUAUUUUAUUGGGGUGAUAAUGGUAAAAUGAUUAUUAACUGUUAAUUUUUAAAAACAAAAAUAAAUGAAUAAAAAUAAAAGUUAUAUAAAUGAUCCUAUUUAAAGAUUAAAAGUUUAAGUUACUUUAGGGAUAACAGCGUUAUUUUUUUUGAGAGUUCUUAUCGAGAAAAAAGUUUGCGACCUCGAUGUUGAAUUAAAAAAUCUAUAUAAUUGUAGCAGUUAUAUAAGAAGGUCUGUUCGACCUUUAAAUUUUUACAUGAUUUGAGUUCAGACCGGCGUAAGCCAGGUCGGUUUCUAUCUUUUAAUAUUUAAUAAUUAUUUUAGUACGAAAGGAUUGAAUAAUUAAAAUUAUUUUUGAUUAAUUGGAUUAAA